rnacentral:rRNA from 1 species
GCUUAAUACAUGCAAGUCAACUGAAGCACCGGUAGUAUACUGGUGUGGAGGUGGCGCACGGGUGAGUAACACGUAGGUAAUCUGCCUUCAGGUCUGACAUAACCCCGAGAAAUCGGGGCUAAUAGCAGAUGAUGCAGCGGCUUGACAUCAAGACAGUUGUUAAAGCUUCGGCGCCUGAAGAUGAGCCUGCGUCUGAUUAGCUAGUUGGCGGAGUAAUAGCCCACCAAGGCGACGAUCAGUAGCUGGUCUGAGAGGAUGAUCAGCCACACUGGAACUGAGACACGGUCCAGACUCCUACGGGAGGCAGCAGUAAGGAAUAUUGCUCAAUGGGAGAAAUCCUGAAGCAGCAACGCCGCGUGAGGGAUGAAGGGCUUUUGCUCGUAAACCUCUGUAGUGAGGGAAAAAAUUUCCAUUCUAUGGAAUAUGAUGGUACCUCAAAAGUAAGCCCCGGCUAACUACGUG